rnacentral:lncRNA from 1 species
CCUGGAACCACUUGGCGUGCCGCAGUGACGCCAAGGCAGCAAGGCAUUUCUGCCUGUCCAGAACGUCCGGGGAGUCGGUGACUGAUAGCGUUUCUCCAGCGAGCUGCUUCUCCAUCUCCUCCCGCACCACCGGCGACGUCAGGUGGAUGGUCAGCGUCAGCGGCGGCUCCUUCGUGUUCUUGAUGACGAUGGCGGCGUCGCCGACCGCCUGGAUGAUCUCGUAUUUGUCCUCGGUGAUGGCCGCCAGCUGCACGCCCAGAUUGUCGGCCACCUUCUGCAGCAGCUCGGAGGUGGGUUUGUCCUUGCACAGCAGGACCAGCUCCAGGUCCAGGUCCCCCUUCAGCAGCAGCCCUUUGGCCACCAGCCCCACGCGCAUCACGCCGCGAAGGGUCCGCGUCAGCUGCUCCGCCGCCUUCUGAUCCC